rnacentral:ribozyme from 1 species
AACAAAGAAAAGAAAGAGGUAUGCAAUAUUAGAGUUCUUUCUUUGCUGCGAUUCUCUCUUUGCUUUGCUUUCUUUUUUUUUUCUUC